rnacentral:rRNA from 1 species
GACGAACGCUGGCGGCGUGCUUAACACAUGCAAGUCGAACGGAAAGGCCCUGCUUUUGUGGGGUGCUCGAGUGGCGAACGGGUGAGUAACACGUGAGUAACCUGCCCUUGACUUUGGGAUAACUUCAGGAAACUGGGGCUAAUACCGGAUAGGAGCUCCUGCUGCAUGGUGGGGGUUGGAAAGUUUCGGCGGUUGGGGAUGGACUCGCGGCUUAUCAGCUUGUUGGUGGGGGAGUGGCUUACCAAGGCUUUGACGGGUAGCCGGCAUGAGAGGGUGACCGGCCACAUUGGGACUGAGAUACGGCCCAGACUCCUACGGGAGGCAGCAGUGGGGAAUAUUGCACAAUGGGCGGAAGCCUGAUGCAGCAACGCCGGGUGCGGGAUGACGGCCUUCGGGUUGUAAACCGCUUUCGCCUGUGACGAAGCGUGAGUGACGGUAAUGGGUAAAGAAGCACCGGCUAACUACGUG